CCUACGGGAGGCUGCAGUGGGGGAUAUUGCACAAUGGGGGGAACCCUGAUGCAGCGACGCCGCGUGGGUGAAGAAGCGCCUCGGCGCGUAAAGCCCUGUCAGCAGGGAAGAAAAUGACGGUACCUGAAGAAGAAGCCCCGGCUAACUACGUGCCAGCAGCCGCGGUAAUAGGUAGGGGGCAAGCGUUAUCCGGAUUUACUGGGUGUAAAGGGGGCGCAGACGGCGAUGCAAGUCAGAAGUGAAAGCCCGGGGCUCAACUCCGGGACUGCUUUUGAAACUGUGUUGCUAGAUUGCAGGAGAGGUAAGUGGAAUUCCUAGUGUAGCGGUGAAAUGCGUAGAUAUUAGGAGGAACACCAGUGGCGAAGGCGGCUUACUGGACUGUAAAUGACGCUGAGGCUCGAAAGCGUGGGGAGCAAACAGGAUUAGAUACCCUGGUAGUC
rnacentral:rRNA from 1 species